GUACGUGACGACGCGACCGACGCCGGCGGACGGCGACGGCGUUCUCGCCGGAUGUAGGAACCGACCCGGGGACCGCCGGGGCAACCCGGCGCCCCCGAGACGGGGCGAACCACGGUGAAAUGACGGAUCGUCGGCCCCGCGCCGGCGACUCGCCGAAUGAGUUUCUGACCUAUCAACUCGAGACGGCGGGGUAGAGGCCCGCCGCGGUAACGACGGGUAACGGGGAAUCAGGGUUCGAUUCCGGAGAGGGAGCCCGAGAAACGGCUACCACUUCCAAGGAAGGCAGCAGGCGCGCAACUUACCCUAAUCUCGAUUCGAGGAGGUAGUGACAAGAAAUACCGAUGCGGGACCCUACGGGUGCCGCGUUCGGAAUGAGUACGAUUCGAACCACCUAACGAGGAACGAUCGGAGGGCAAGUCUGGUGCCAGCAGCCGCGGUAAUUCCAGCUCCAAUAGCGUACGUUAAAGUU
rnacentral:rRNA from 1 species